UUGUGUUUUCUCUCUUAAUGACUUCCCGUCAGGCGUGGGUUGAUGGAGGAUGACGCAGAGCCGAUCUUCGAGGACGUGAUGAUGUCAUCGCGAGGACAGCUGGAGGACAUGAACGAGGAGUUCGAGGACACGAUGGUGAUCGACCUGCCGCCAUCGAGGAACAGACGUGAAAGAGCAGAAUUAAGACCAGACUUCUUUGACUCUGCAGCGAUGAUUGAGGACGAGUCGGGUUUCAGCAUGCCCAUGUUCUGAUCCAGGAAGAGGCAAAGAUCCUGAGCUCAGGAUCCACAUCAGGAGUCAACAGAAGGGAGGGUCUGGGCCGUCUCACCCAGAAAACCUGCCAAUCAAACUCUUAAGAAUAGGAAACAACAUUGUUGAAACACUUUUCUCUUUCUGUAAGACGGGAUGGAAGCAUUGUUUGUCAGGUGGAUCUGCUGACGGACGUGGAAUCGGCCGGAUCUCACCUGGAAAGUCAAGCGAGGAUCGGCUGUGUUCUCACGGGCCGGAGGAUCCAGAACCGAGUCCGGAAUAUUCAAGAGCUUCGUCUUCUCUCUAAAUCAUCCUCCUCUUCCUCCCUUUCCAGCCUGUUGGUUUAGCUCUUGUUAGCGGUAGCUCGGAUGGCCGACGAGCACUUGCAGUUUUUACGGUUCCCUGUUACACAGAUGUACAGUUAUUUGGUUCAGAGCAGCCCCUCCCCCCCCUCACCCUCCCCCCUUAUUUUGGUGUCGCACUUCGAAUCCGUCUGGUAGAAUCUGACAUAGAGAGGAUAUCAAUACUAAGUGUUCUAUAUCUUUGCUCUUAUUACCACCCAACGACCCCUCUCCGCUCUCUGUUCGCCAUCAGAGUCCUCGUGUGUGUGCGUGCGUGUGUGUGUGUGUGUGUGUGCGUGCGUGUGUGCGUUGGUGAUGGUUGAGUAGUUGCGUGACGUCAAAGCGAAGGAGAAGCCACCCUCCCCCCGCUCUCAGAUCUCGGAUACGUUUUUGAAGUUUAAAAAAAAAAGAAAAUAAACAUAUUUUUAAUUCUGUAGCUUUAGUACUAAAGUUUUAAAUCAAGUGUGUCUUUGUUUCUGUCGGAUGUUUGUACAGCUUUUUCUCGAAUAUGUAUCAUGUUUGUUGCCAAAUUGUGGCCUACAUACUUACGGUAUAUUCCUUCCCCUACACCUGUGUCUCAUAUCUAACGGUUACCAAGCUCAGAGUGUUGCUGUGGGAUCUCUUUAAGCGCUGUAUGGUCUGAUUGUAGUCGUUUCACAGUUCAGUAUUUACAGCAAACUAUCUGUUCAUUUUGUUCAUUUUACAGGUUACAUUUCUACGCCUGUCUCAGUGUUAUCUGAUCCAAGAUGAUUUGUUGUUAUUCUGAUUUGUUUGAAUGUGUUUUGAAUGUUUCCAGCCAUAUCGUUGUUCACGCUCCGUCGGUUAAUCAAUCAUCCACCUCUCCCCCUGGCUGGCUUGGCAGUCCUCCUGUAAAUAUCAGAGACAAUUGGAUCUUUCCUGCAGUGCAGUUGACAUCAGUUGCCCUUAAAUGCUCUAAACGCCUGUUUUUUUCUUCUGUGAACCUAAAUUCUUUUUAAUAAAAUAAAAUCUGUAUUCGAUU